rnacentral:tRNA from 1 species
GCCGAGGUAGCUCAGUUGGUAGAGCAGUGGAUUGAAAAUCCGCGUGUCGGGGGUUCAAGUCCCUUCUUCGGCACCA